GAUGAACGCUGGCGGCGUGCCUAACACAUGCAAGUCGAGCGAGGGUUUGCUCAGUAUUGAGUAUUCUAAAACUAGAAUGUUCAAUUCUGAGCAAAACCAAGCGGCGCGGGUGAGUAACGCGUGGGUAACCUGCCCUAUACACAUGGAUAACAUACUGAAAAGUUUACUAAUACAUGAUAAUAUAUAUUUGCGGCAUCGCAGAUAUAUCAAAGUGUUAGCGGUAUAGGAUGGACCCGCGUCUGAUUAGCUAGUUGGUGAGAUAACUGCCCACCAAGGCGACGAUCAGUAGCCGACCUGAGAGGGUGAUCGGCCACAUUGGAACUGAGACACGGUCCAAACUCCUACGGGAGGCAGCAGUGGGGAAUAUUGCACAAUGGGCGAAAGCCUGAUGCAGCAACGCCGCGUAACGA
rnacentral:rRNA from 1 species